UACGGAGGAUCCAAGCGUUAUCCGGAAUCAUUGGGUUUAAAGGGUCCGUAGGCGGUUUGGUAAGUCAGUGGUGAAAGCCCAUCGCUCAACGGUGGAACGGCCAUUGAUACUGCCAGACUUGAAUUAUUAGGAAGUAACUAGAAUAUGUAGUGUAGCGGUGAAAUGCUUAGAGAUUACAUGGAAUACCAAUUGCGAAGGCAGGUUACCACUAAUGGAUUGACGCUGAUGGACGAAAGCGUGGGUAGCGAACAGG
rnacentral:rRNA from 1 species